AGCUAGGAUUAGAUACCCUAUUAUAUGAGCCAUAAAAAACAAACACCCGAGAACUACAAAUCAAGAUUUAAAACUCAAAGGACUUGGCGGUUUUUUAGACCUCCCUGGAGGAGCUUGCCAUAUAACCGAUAAUCCACGAAAAACCUGACCAGCCUUUGAAAAAUUCAACCUGUAUACCAUCGUCGUCAGUCUACCCCCCAAGGGAAGUACACUAAAAGAAAACUCCCUCACUACGUCAGAUCGAGGUGCAGUUAAUAGGCUGGGAAUGAGUGAGCUACAACACUACACUAGUAAAUAAACACAACUAUGAACAGUCUUUUGAAACAAAAGACUCAAAACAGGAUUCAGCAGUAAUGUAUAAAAGAAAAUAAACAUGAAACUUUAAGCUCUAAAAUACGCACACAUCGCCCGUCGGCUCUUA
rnacentral:rRNA from 1 species